rnacentral:rRNA from 1 species
GAUGAACGCUAGCGGCAGGCCUAACACAUGCAAGUCGAGGGGUAGAGGAAGCUUGCUUCCUUGAGACCGGCGCACGGGUGCGUAACGCGUAUGCAAUCUACCUUUUACAGAGGGAUAGCCCAGAGAAAUUUGGAUUAAUACCUCAUAGUAUCUUUGCCUGGCAUCGGGUGAUUAUUAAAGUUCCAACGGUAAAAGAUGAGCAUGCGUCCUAUUAGCUAGAUGGUAAGGUAACGGCUUACCAUGGCAACGAUAGGUAGGGGUCCUGAGAGGGAGAUCCCCCACACUGGUACUGAGACACGGACCAGACUCCUACGGGAGGCAGCAGUGAGGAAUAUUGGACAAUGGGCGCAAGCCUGAUCCAGCCAUGCCGCGUGCAGGAAGACGGUCCUAUGGAUUGUAAACUGCUUUUGUACGGGAAGAAACACUCCUACGUGUAGGAGCUUGACGGUACCGUAAGAAUAAGGAUCGGCUAACUCCGUGCCAGCCGCCGCGGUAACAC